UACGAAGGGGGCUAGCGUUGCUCGGAAUUACUGGGCGUAAAGGGCGCGUAGGCGGAUAGUUUAGUUGGGGGGUGAAAGCCCGGGGCUCAACCUCGGAAUUGCCUUCAAUACUGGCUGUCUUGAGUGUGAGAGAGGUGUGUGGAACUCCGAGUGUAGAGGUGAAAUUCGUAGAUAUUCGGAAGAACACCAGUGGCGAAGGCGACACACUGGCUCACUACUGACGCUGAGGCGCGAAAGCGUGGGGAGCAAACAGG
rnacentral:rRNA from 1 species